rnacentral:rRNA from 16 species
GUACAUUGAUGAUUCCGACUGUCCUGUGCAAUGGCAGAGGGUUGCGCAUCAUUGCUGCUUGGCCGCACGAUUUUCUGAUCUAUUGGCUUGGGACUGCAGUGUAGUGGACCACUGUGGCUUUCACAGGUAACGGACCAUUAAGGUUC